rnacentral:rRNA from 1 species
AGUAUCGCGUAGGGAUUUGUCGUUGGGUGGGGGAGUAACCGCGGGGAAAACUGCGGCUAAUACCGCAUGACGCCUGUGGGCCAAAGGUGUGCAAGCACUGCCUGACGAGGAGCCUGCGUCCGAUUAGCUAGUUGGUUGGGUAAUGGCUGACCAAGGCUGUGAUCGGUAGCUGGUCUGAGAGGAUGAUCAGCCACACUGGGACUGAGACACGGCCCAG